rnacentral:lncRNA from 1 species
AAUUCUAUGAUGGUUGAAGGCUCACUGAUGGUCACUCUCAUUCUCCUGCUCCAUCUCCUCUGCAUCCUCAAAGCGUUGAUCAUUAAUUUGAAGCUGCAGGCAAUUUAAAUAAUGGUAUCAAUGAGGAAGGCAUAGUUGAGGUCUAAUAUAAAUUUCCAGAUAAAUUCAAUUGGCUGCGUAGGUCAUAGAUAAUGGGGUGAAAACCAGUAAUGAAUUGGAAUUCAAACAACAAAAUAAGACACUAAAUCUGACGGCCAAGAAUGAACAACAAGAAAAAUGGAUGUGUUAAGGCAUACCCGAAGCACAUUGUUAGCUAGGUCAUUAUCACCGUUUGAAUGACCAAUUGGGUUUGUUGGAUCCUGAAAAAAAUGCCACCCAGGAUCUUCCCCU